GAUGAACGCUAGCGGCAGGCUUAACACAUGCAAGUCGAGGGGUAGGAGAAGCUUGCUUUUCUGAGACCGGCGCACGGGUGCGUAACGCGUAUGCAAUCUACCUUUCACAGAGGGAUAGCCCAGAGAAAUUUGGAUUAAUACCUCAUAGUAAUACGCCUUGGCAUCAAGAUGUAUUUAAAGAUUUAUCGGUGAAAGAUGAGCAUGCGUCCCAUUAGCUAAUUGGUAUGGUAACGGCAUACCAAGGCAACGAUGGGUAGGGGUCCUGAGAGGGAGAUCCCCCACACUGGUACUGAGACACGGACCAGACUCCUACGGGAGGCAGCAGUGAGGAAUAUUGGACAAUGGGCGCAAGCCUGAUCCAGCCAUGCCGCGUGCAGGAUGACGGUCCUAUGGAUUGUAAACUGCUUUUAUACAGGAAGAAACACCUCUACGUGUAGAGACUUGACGGUACUGUAAGAAUAAGGAUCGGCUAACUCCGUGCCAGCAGCCGCGGUAAUACGGAGGAUCCAAGCGUUAUCCGGAAUCAUUGGGUUUAAAGGGUCCGUAGGCGGUCAGGUAAGUCAGUGGUGAAAGCCCAUCGCUCAACGGUGGAACGGCCAUUGAUACUGUCUGACUUGAAUUAUUAGGAAGUAACUAGAAUAUGUAGUGUAGCGGUGAAAUGCUUAGAGAUUACAUGGAAUACCAAUUGCGAAGGCAGGUUACUACUAAUUGAUUGACGCUGAUGGACGAAAGCGUGGGUAGCGAACAGGAUUAGAUACCCUGGUAGUCCACGCCGUAAACGAUGGAUACUAGCUGUUGGGAGCAAUCUCAGUGGCUAAGCGAAAGUGAUAAGUAUCCCACCUGGGGAGUACGAACGCAAGUUUGAAACUCAAAGGAAUUGACGGGGGCCCGCACAAGCGGUGGAGCAUGUGGUUUAAUUCGAUGAUACGCGAGGAACCUUACCAAGGCUUAAAUGUAGAUUGACCGGUUGGAAACAGACU
rnacentral:rRNA from 1 species